rnacentral:rRNA from 1 species
AAUGAACGUUGGCGGCAUGGAUUAGGCAUGCAAGUCGAGCGAGAAGUGUAGCAAUACACGGAAAGCGGCGGAAGGGAGAGUAAUACGUGGGAAUCUGCCCUUAGACCUGGGAUAGCAGCGGGAAACUGCUGGUAAUACCAGAUAAUGUCUAUGGACCAAAGGUGUGAUUCCGUCUAGGGAUGAGCCCACGUCCUAUUAGCUAGUUGGUGAGGGUAAUGGCCUACCAAGGCGAUGAUGGGUAGCGGGUGUGAGAGCAUGACCCGCCUCACUGGGACUGGGACACUGCCCAGACGCCUACGGGUGGCUGCAGUGGAGAAUCGUCGGCAAUGGGCGCAAGCCUGACCGAGCGAUGCCGCGUGCGGGAUGAAGGCCUUCGGGUUGUAAACCGCUGUCGAGGGGGAGCAACUUCCAUAGAGUUAUCUUUAUGGAUUGAGUGAUCCCUGGAGGAAGGACGGGCUAAGUUCGUGCCAGCCGCCGCAGUAAAAC